GGGUACAAGUAAUCAACACUUGAACGCAUACUAUGAAUACGUAGGCCACAUUGCAUGUCCAAGGCACAAUGAAUUAUUUUAUUCAAGGAUGAAGAUCGACUCAAUCCUUUAAGAUAGCAUUUAGCAAAAGACAACAUUUAAUUCAAUGUUUAAUAAUACGUUACUCUCGCUUGCUUUGUUCUCUUGUCGUAAAGUUCUCAUUUUUGUAAAUAAACGUUAACAACAAAUAAAGAGGAAAGAUUAAAAUUGUACCGCUGGUUUUUAAGACGAAUAUAGUCGAAAAGACCGACCCCCGUUACUAUGGAAACAGAUCGAGCAAGGCAUGUAAACAGUAGAGCUGAAUGCGUCAAGACGCCGGUGAAUAUCUAAAAAUACGGAGUGAAAAUGCGGCCGCCUCCAUGCUAAGCGCUUUGCGAUCACAUCACCGUAACAUCUGCUGCAGGAGCCACCGUCUCCUGCUACCCGGAACAAUGGUCAGGAUGAGGC